rnacentral:rRNA from 1 species
UACGUAGGGUGCAGGCGUUAAUCGGAAUUACUGGGCGUAAAGCGUGCGCAGGCGGUUUGCUAAGACAGGUGUGAAAUCCCCGGGCUUAACCUGGGAACUGCGCUUGUUACUGGCAAGCUGGAGUGUGGCAGAGGGGGGUGGAAUUCCACGUGUGGCAGUGAAAUGCGUAGAGAUGUGGAGGAACACCGAUGGCGAAGGCAGCCCCCUGGGCUAACACUGACGCUCAUGCACGAAAGCGUGGGGAGCAAACAGG